GAUGAAGAACGCAGCGAAAUGCGAUAAGUAAUGUGAAUUGCAGAAUUCAGUGAAUCAUCGAAUCUUUGAACGCAUCUUGCGCUCCUUGGUAUUCUGAGGAGCAUGCCUGUUUGAGUGUCAUUAAAUUCUCAACUACACUGACUUUGAAUUGGUGUGGCUUGGAUUUGGGGGGAAAAUUGUUGUGGGCUUUUUGUAUAGUCUGCUCCCCUGAAAUUGAUUAGCGGUACCUUUGUGGAACUGACUACAGGUGUGAUAAUUAUCUACAUCUUAGACAUCUGCUGGAAUGCUGCUUUCUAAACCUUACUUGUAUUGACAAUCUUGACCUCAAAUCAGGUAGGACUACCCGCUGAACUUAAGCAUAUCAAUAAGCGGAGGA
rnacentral:misc_RNA from 1 species